AUGAGCAACCUUUCGAUAGGAAAAAAGAGUCGGAAUGAUGUCCAAGGUUCUAGUCAUGGUGGUUUGAAGGUCUCCGACAAGGGAGUUUUAUGCUCAGAGGGAAACUUUAGCGAGUUUAAGGGUGGCUCCGGUGAUCUUUUGAAUCGAGAUGUUGUGAAGGCGCAAUUCAGGCAAGGUAUUCCGGGAGGUGGAGGUUGGGUUUGGCUCCAAAGACGGGUGUUUGUUAGGUUUCCGGCAAGGUCAUUCCGGUCAGGCUCCAGGGAGGAUUCCGGAGAAGUGAUUUUGUGGCCUUUUACUGAGUUUGCAGUAACUUUUCUUCUUGAGCCUCUCUUUGUGAACUAA